rnacentral:miRNA from 1 species
GGCUGCCUCAUUUAGUUGGGAUUUCAGAUAAACAACAAAAAAUAUUUUAGUGUAGGUAUGUCCCAUGCAAUAUUUGGGACAAACUUAUACUAAAAAGAGACUUUGGUAUCCCUAUGAGUUGCAUAUACAGCCUUCU